UGUCUAUAUCAAACCCAUGAUCAUGGAUACCUACAUGGAAGAAUGAAUGGGAACAGGAGUAGUGGGUGAUGGAGAACCAAUACAAUGAAGAUGAUUUACACGGGCCAACGAUCAUACAAAUCCAGGAACUGAAAAGUGUGAUUAAUUCAAUUCUCUACCCAUCUGUCCACAGGUGAAAUAUAUUGCACUGUGGGAAGAAGUUUGCAUUUGCAGGAGGGAAGGAGAGAGUAAUUUUGGACAACGGGACACGUGGAGGUGUGGGGCAGGCAGUAAGAGAUCCCUGAGCGAUGCUGGGAGGAAGUAUUAAACUCUGAAGCAGCAAGCACCGAGGAAAGGCCAUGUGAACUAGAGCAAGGAGGUGGCCUUCUGUAAGAGGCCAGAAAGAGAGCCCUCACCAGGAACUAAGUCUGCCAGCACCUUGA